CCCAUGACUGCAUAUUUUGCUUAAGAGCCUUUGGUGAGGGACCAUGCCAAAGGCUUCUGAAAGUUCAAAUACACUAUAUCAACUGUAUCAUCCUUGUCCAUGUCUGUUUACACCUCAAAGAAUUCUAAUAGAUUUGUGAGGCAUGAUUUCCCUUUACAAAAGCAAUAUUAACUCUUC